AGUAAAUGACACUAUAGACUCACAGAAACGAGCCUGCAUAUAAGGGAACCUGGCUUAGUGGUGGCCUCCCCACACCCAAGCAGUAAAAGGGAGAGCCUCCUGAGCCAGCAGAGAAACUUAAGCCUCCCAGUAUUCUGGAAGCAAUAAAGAAUAAUCUGAUAUACAAACAAAGGUGCCGUGAGGUAUUCUCACUUCUCUUAACUACUGCUGGUGAUGAUGUUUGUGAGCCAGCUCUUUUUACCACUGAAAAAGUUCUUAACUGUUAAUGACUCCCAGGUGAAGGCACCAACCCAAGACUGAGAUGUUCUGAAUAAAUGAGGGAAUAAAUGAAUGAGUAAGUGGAUCACUGACUGAGCCAACUCCUAUUGAGAGCCUAAAAUGCAUAAAGGUUUCACAAAUGACUACAACUGUCCCUUCCUACAACUCCAUAAGGCAGGUUCUAAAAUCACCCCCGUUCUAUGGAUGAGGAACUGGUGCUCAGAGAAGUUAAGUGGACCUUGCCAAGGACAAUAGGAAAACAUCAUGAGUAAGAGACUCAGGACUCACGCAUCAAGACCCACAUUGUUUCUGUUAUGCUGUCUUACCUUCUUGAAAGCUCUGACUUGAGAAGAUUGGUUCAGAUUUUGUGCAACUGGUCAUCCCUGGUGCAACCCAGAGACUGGCACUCAAUUUCACUUCAUGAGUCUCUUCUGUCCCCCUCAGAUCAUAGCACCGCUGUUUACACUUCAGCGCCAGCACCUCCUGCCUCCUCUUUGGGACACCUUUUCUUACCUUUGAUGCUAUGACAAGGGGGCUUUCCUCCCUGCCUCUAGCAGACUGUUUUGCUUUUCCCAUUCUUUUCAUAACUUUCCAAAGACACAAAAUCACAGCUGUAAAAAUGGCAUGUUAUAGCUAUUGGUUGCUCACGUCUUUCAAAGGGCUUUCCCAAUUAUUUUUUCAUUUCAUCUUCACAACAGCCCUCUGUGGACCAGGAAGGCAGCUGUCAUUACCCACCAUUGCACGGUCAGGGAAACUGAGACCUCAAAAAGGGGAAUCUCCCACGGGAGUCAUAGGUAAGGUUGGUGACAGAGGCAAGACCUGCACUCAACUGCUUGACUACCAGGGCCAAUGCUCUUUCACAAAGACACCACGACCAACAUGGAUAGAAUGUGCCUCUAACUGCAGCUCCAGUUUAUAGGGCUAUUUGAGCAAAGGGGAUGGAGUGAGGCCUCAUUUGGAGAAGUGGAGAUGAGGAUGGGAGGAUCUGGCAGAGCAGCGUGGCAGGUGUUGGUUAGAUUCUCUGCACCUAUGUAUUCCUUCCAUAGACAAUUUUGUAUCCCAGAAAAAAUGAAAUAAAAUUAUAAUCCUAAAG
rnacentral:lncRNA from 10 species